UGAUGUCCGUCGCUAUGACUCUCUCGUAGUGAUCUGCGACCUGUCCACGUGGCAAAACUUGUCAAAAUGCAAGAUCUGAUGCUAAAAUGAGUUAAAAGUUAAUGAACAUCAAAGUUACUGACGGCGAGAGCUGCUUGGCCGUUGCCGGUGGCGGCAUCCCAAGCUAAAAUGUGGUGAUCCGUGAGGCCGGCGAGCUUCGAGAACCAUUCCGAGGGGUAAUUAGGUCUGGCGUCUAGGAUUUGUGGAAUUGAAAGCUGGUUGAUGAAGAAACACGUCACUGCUUACGGAGCAAACAAGUAAAUGUCAAGUGGAAAAUCUA